UAAGGCCAAAUAAAAAAGUAUGUGUGGUUCCAGUUACAUCUGAAAAAAAGUUAGGGUAGGUAGGUAGGGAUUUUUUUUUAUUUUAUGUUUUUUAUUUACAUUGAGUCUAUGGAAGCAACAUUCUGACUUUAACAGUGCUUAAUGAAAAAUGACAAUAAAAUCUUUAGGGUAGGUUAUUUUUAAGCCGAAAAAGUAGGGACA
rnacentral:lncRNA from 1 species